rnacentral:RNase_P_RNA from 1 species
UCAGUCUAUGCAAUCGCUAGUUUAUAACUAGAGGAAAGUCCAUGCUCGCACUAUCUGAGAUGAUAGUAGUGAUUGUGCUAGGAGAAAAAAUAAUCCUAGGUACUAGGGAGCUAGUAACGGCUAUUUUUGGGCCUAAAGGUAUACCUAUGGCUUAAAAGAGUAAAGUGCCACAGAGACGAUUUUAUUUGAAAAAAUAAAGUGAAACGAGGUAAACCCCGCAAGCGAGAAACUCAAAUUUUGGUAGAGGAAGUUGAUAGGAGAAAUUGAAUCUAACUCAGCAAGGAAACUUAGAUAAAUGGUUGCAUAAAACAGAACAUGGCUUAUGGAC